UGGGGAAUUUUGGACAAUGGGCGCAAGCCUGAUCCAGCCAUGCCGCGUGCGGGAAGAAGGCCUUCGGGUUGUAAACCGCUUUUGUCAGGGAAGAAAUCUUCUGAGUUAAUACCUCGGGAGGAUGACGGUACCUGAAGAAUAAGCACCGGCUAACUACGUGCCAGCAGCCGCGGUAAUACGUAGGGUGCAAGCGUUAAUCGGAAUUACUGGGCGUAAAGCGUGCGCAGGCGGUUUUGUAAGACAGAGGUGAAAUCCCCGGGCUCAACCUGGGAACUGCCUUUGUGACUGCAAGGCUUGAGUGCGGCAGAGGGGGAUGGAAUUCCGCGUGUAGCAGUGAAAUGCGUAGAUAUGCGGAGGAACACCGAUGGCGAAGGCAAUCCCCUGGGCCUGCACUGACGUUCAUGUACGAAAGCGUGGGGAGCAAACAGGAUUAGAUACCCUGGUAGUCCACGCCCUAAACGAUGUCAACUGGUUGUUGGGAAGGUUCCUUCUCAGUAACGUAGCUAACGCGUGAAGUUGACCGCCUGGGGAGUACGGCCGCAAGGUUG
rnacentral:rRNA from 1 species